rnacentral:rRNA from 1 species
UACCUGCAGUCGAGCGGAUGAAGGGAGCUUGCUCCUGGAUUCUCGGCGGACGGGUGAGUAAUGCCUAGGAAUCUGCCUGGUAGUGGGGGAUAACGUCCGGAAACGGGCGCUAAUACCGCAUACGUCCUGAGGGAGAAAGUGGGGGAUCUUCGGACCUCACGCUAUCGGAUGAGCCUAGGUCGGAUUAGCUAGUUGGUGGGGUAAAGGCCUACCAAGGCGACGAUCCGUAACUGGUCUGAGAGGAUGAUCAGUCACACUGGAACUGAGACACGGACCAGACUCCUACGGGAGGCAGCAGUGGGGAAUAUUGGACAAUGGGCGAAAGCCUGAUCCAGCCAUGCCGCGUGUGUGAAGAAGGUCUUCGGAUUGUAAAGCACUUUAAGUUGGGAGGAAGGGCAGUAAGUUAAUACCUUGCUGUUUUGACGUUACCAACAGAAUAAGCACCGGCUAACUUCGUGCCAGCAGCCGCGGUAAUACGAAGGGUGCAAGCGUUAAUCGGAAUUACUGGGCGUAAAGCGCGCGUAGGUGGUUCAGCAAGUUGGAUGUGAAAUCCCCGGGCUCAACCUGGGAACUGCAUCCAAAACUACUGAGCUAGAGUACGGUAGAGGGUGGUGGAAUUUCCUGUGUAGCGGUGAAAUGCGUAGAUAUAGAGAAGGAACACCAGUGGCGAAGGCGACCACCUGCACUGAUACUGACACUGAGGUGCGAAAGCGUGA